GGGGCAAUCUGUAAUAUUCAGAAAAAUAAAGGCCAUAGUGCAAAUUUUGUUAUUUCCUCUCCGAUCAACGGUCCUGAUCUCACACAACCCCAGGACGAAAACUAGCCGUCUCCGCAAUUACUUCAGCGCCUCCUCUUCGUAUUGUGCCCUAGCUGCGGACUAUAUGUCUAUAUAUAUGCUUAUUUUGUAGGUCAUGGGUGAGAAACGCUUGUGCGUGCAAUGGGUUUAAAUAUACUUCGAGUAAAUCGCUAUCAAAAGAAACCAGGUCUUUUAUUUGUUAAAUUCUUUUGUCUUGCAUUUAGGGUUUGAUUGUUUCCUUUAUCUUUUUCUCUCUAUAUUUUCUUUGAGCACUUGUAAAAAUUAUUGGAUUUAAUUCUGGUUGUUUAUACUGAUAUUAUUUUCUUGUGAUUGGUAAAAAAAGCAAGUCUUCUCAUGGGUUUGUUUUUAUUGAAUCAGUUUGUUUAAUGUACUUAUCUUUAUAACCAAUCUGACUUCAAGAUUUUGGAUUUUGCAAAUUUGCAAGUGAUGAUAAAAUAGACAGGGACAUCAGAACUCCUAUGGAGAAUGAUAGACUUGGUCUUUGGGAAUCUCUCUGAUGCAUUUAUUAAUACACAUAUAGGGUUGGAUAGAUGCACUCUAUUGUAUAACUUAAACUUCUCAGUUUUUGUUACUAUAUUUUUAUGUUAUAAUAGCACAGCUUAGUUUGUACAGGGGUUUAAAAAUUUCCUGUGGAUACAGUAAGCAGCUAUUUUUUGGUAAUAUGCUUGUAAGUUGAUUGUUGCUCUCGAUUCUAAUUAUGUCAUAGUCCAGAAAAAACUCAGUUGUUUUUUUUUUUACUAUAGCUGAUUAUUUGUAUUCAUGGUUUAGAUUUUGUAGGUCAUGGGUGCAAUGUGUUUUAGAUAUACUUUGAGUAAAUCGAUAUCAAAAGAAACCAGUCUGAAGCUGUGAGGUCUUUUAUUUGUUAAAUUCUCUGGUCUUGCAUUUAGGUUUUGAAUGUUUCCUUUAUCUUUUUCUUUCUAUAUUUUACUUAGCACUUGUAAAUUAUUUGAUUUAAUUUGGGUUGUUCAUUCUGAUAUAUAUAUUUUUAUAUGUAAAAAGCAAGCCUUCUCAGAUGGUGGGUAUGUUUUAUUGAAUCAGUAUGUUUGAUCUUGGUAGUUAGCAUAAUCCAUCUGAAUUUUGCAAAUUUGCUAGUGACUAUAAAAUAGACAGGGACAUCAAAACCUCUCUGAUGCAUUUAUUAAUACACAUAUAGGGUUGGAUAGAUACACUCUAGUGUAUGACUUUGAAACUUUAAAUUUUUGGUUUAUGUAUUUGUAUGUUAUAAUAGCACAGCUUAGUUUGUAUAGGGGUUUAAAAGUUUCCUGUGGAUACAAUAAUGCUAUUUUUGGGAAUAUAGAUUAUUUUGGGUAUCACAGGUUUUAGAAGAAUAUAAAUUUUUUGUUGGAAAUAUAGUUAUUUUUAUUAUUUGGUGCCAAUGAUGGGUUUAAAUAUACUAUGAAUUUCUAAUAAUGAAAACAAUUUAAUCUGAGGCACCUUUGUUUUUAGAAUGUAUGAUUUUUAUUCGAAUUUUUUUGUUUAAUUUUGGGGAAGGAUUUCAUGCAGUUUAAAAUUUUGAUCUAAUUUAGUUUGAAACCAUUGUUUUUCUGUCAUCUUACACAUGGCUUUUAAAUUGUGUUUCUCGACAUUAGUUUGUGCAAGUGAUGAUAAAAUAGACAGGGACAUCAGCACUCCUCAAUGGAGUAUGAUGAUUUGUCUUCGGGAAUCUCUCUGAUGCACAAACAUUUUCGGA